rnacentral:rRNA from 1 species
AACGAACGCUGGCGGCAUGCCUAACACAUGCAAGUCGAACGAGACCUUCGGGUCUAGUUGCGCACGUGUGCGUAACGCGUGGGAACCUGCCCUUAGGUUCGGAAUAACUCCCCGAAAGGUGUCCUAAUACCGGUUAAUGUCUUCGGACCAAAGAUUUAUCGCCUUUGGAUGGGCCCGCGUUGGAUUCGCUAGUUGGUAGGGUAAAAGCCUACCAAGGCGACGAUCCAUAGCUGGUCUGUGAGGAUGAUCAGCCACACUGGGACUGAGACACGGCCCAGACUGCUACGGGAGGGAGGAGUGGGGAAUAUUGGAGAAUGGGCGAAAGCCUGAUAAAGCAAUGCCGCGUGAGUGAUGAAGGCCUUAGGGUUGUAAAGCUGUUUUACCCGGGAUGAUAAUGACAGUACCGGGAGAAUAAGCUCCGGCUAACUCCGUG